rnacentral:rRNA from 1 species
UACGUAGGGGGCAAGCGUUGUCCGGAUUUAUUGGGCGUAAAGAGCGUGUAGGCGGCCAUACAGGUCAGCUGUGAAAACUCGAGGCUCAACCUCGAGACGUCGGUUGAAACCGUAUGGCUAGAGUCCGGAAGAGGAGAGUGGAAUUCCCGGUGUAGCGGUGAAAUGCGCAGAUAUCGGGAAGAACACCCGUGGCGAAGGUGGCUCUCUGGGACGGUACUGACGCUGAGACGCGAAAGCGUGGGGAGCGAACAGG